UCUUGUCAACUGUCAAAUUGUGUAGAAAUAGAGUUAAAUUUUAAUGUAAAAAAUAUUUUAUUGACCAAUUUACAACAAUAUGCGGCCUAAAUUUUUGUGUAGCUGGGCAACCGUUGUGUAGGCCUCGGUGUUGUCAUUUGGGAUUUAGUAAACAAAUGAUUCCGAGCUUGGACGAGCAAAGUAUAAACAAAGGAGCACUCUACAAUUUGUUGGAGGAUCUCGUCAGUUUAUGAUUUUUGAACCACUUAUCAUAACAUUGGGUGUGACUAUAGUCCUCUUUGCUUCAAUAGCAGUUUGUGCAAAAGAAGACUCGAAACAAAAGUGCUCGUGUCCACCCCACCCUGUGUGUCCCCAGUGUGGGAUACCAUUUUAAAUAAACCACUGAACGGUCUUUUCAUGAAAAAUACUUUUUAUAAGAAACGUUUGAAAAAACAGUAGACAUGAUUUGUAUGACAGUGCUAACGGCAGUGGCUGCUACAGUUUUAAUAGCAUGUGGACCGAUCGUUUGCGACAAAGUGAUGAGGUGUCUCAAAGGAGGAAGUGAUAGUAAAAAGCGAUAAGAAGUUAAAUGAAGCUUCAACUACUGGUAAAAUGGCCGACAAACCAGACGCAAGUCCCAAUUCAAACGCCAAACCACCAGACACAGCAAAGCCAAUUGACAAUCUCAAGCCAGCUGGCUCAUCGUCAUCAUCAGUGACCACCGCCAAGCCCGCAGGACCUGCCAAGCCAAGUCCUGGGUCCAGUUAUUCAAGCUAUUCAGUAUCAACCACCCCUUCAGUCAUUUCUGCUAAAUCUCCCGGUGCAACUACGCCAAAAUCUCCAUCACCCUCACUGGGAUCAAAAGCAGUCACUCCUAAAGGAUCUGGUGACUCUCUUGCAACUAAAACUUCUGCAAAAUCACCGACUGCUACUCCUGCAAGUCCACCGGUUGUCCCUCCUGCAAAAUCACAAGGUGAUACUAAGUCGAUGUCGAGUAGAGCGUCGACGACUGGUACUGAGUCAUCUUCGUCCUCUGCGCCACCGACGAUAAAGAAAAAACGCUUGAAGUGCCAUUUCCACCUACCCAAAGUUGCAAGAGUAUGAUUGUGUUGUGAAAAUUGUAUUGUGAAAAUUAUUUUAAAAUGUAUUUUUAUCUAAUCUGUCUAUAGUAUAUUUUAUUUUCUACAAGUACUUUUA